rnacentral:lncRNA from 1 species
CAGAUCUUCCGAAUCGAACGACGUAGUGACGUAUUUUAUAUAAGUUAUAUAUUCUAUCGAUAUGAAUUCUGAAGUUGGAUUUGAUUAUUGUUUUAGGCACCGAUCGUCAUGACGCCUUGCCGUAUUGUGCUAGGGAGUUGUAGGGCGAACUCCAGGUGAGUGGGCAGUAUUUUCUAUUUAUACCUAUAUGCUAUUGAAUUUUCCCAGAAAUUGAGUUUUAAUGAAAAUAUGUGUUUAAAUGCCAUGCAUGCAAUUGAUGAGAUAUUUGAAUUAAUAAUUGAUACAUAUAUAUGUGAAUUGACGCUGUGGACGCACAGGUGAGUUUUUACUUUAUUCAUACAAUUUAUUUAUGAAAAUUGCAUUGAAAGCUCAUAACCUGCACCCUAGGUGUUAGUGCUUAUAUUAUUAUUCACCACACCGCACGCUCGUCUUGGAUCCAAGUAGGUGGAUGUCGUACAGACCAUGUGAGGGUUCCGACAUGCUAGUCGUAUAGAUCACCAGAUGUGAUUCCGACUAGUGGGUGACCUUAGUUAUGCGCGCUGAUGAUUGAUGAGAGAAGCACUAGAGCGUAUUUAUACACAUUUCAUCGUACAGACUACUAUACGUAGUUCCGAGUGAUGUGCAGUGUAGUGCCGUACAGGUCACAGUUGGUGACUCCGGCAGGGCCGUAUAGGUCACUGUGGUGACUCCGGCUAAGUGGGAUGUUGAGCUUUAGAAUCAGCCGUACAGGACCAUUGUAGGGUCUCCGGUUGAUUUAUUAUUUCACCUGUUAUAUUGAUGCAUCCAUAUUCUGUUUUGACUUUAUGGCAUGGUAUGAUUUCUGGAUUUUGAUACAGAUUGAUGAUUUGAGAUAUGAGGAUUUUUCUUUAUACUAUUAUGUUAUUUUUUUGGGAAAAGUAUACAGGUUUUACAGAGAGGGGUUAGAAUUAUUUUUGGCGAAAUGUUUUUGAAAAGCUUUGGUUUUACUGACCCACUCAAUUUUGUUUUUCGCCCCUCCAGGUUCAAGUUAGCAGAGCUUUGGUGGCCACGAGGAACCC